UACGUAGGGGGCAAGCGUUGUCCGGAAUCAUUGGGCGUAAAGCGCGUGUAGGCGGCUCAGUAAGUCCGCUCUGAAAGCCCGGGGGCUCAACCCCGGGAGGCGGGUGGAUACUGCUGAGCUCGAGUCCGGAAGAGGAGUGUGGAAUUCUUGGUGUAGCGGUGAAAUGCGCAGAUAUCAGGAGGAACACCGAUUGCGAAGGCAGCUCGCUGGGACGUAACUGACGCUGAGACGCGAAAAGCGUGGGGGAGCAAACAGG
rnacentral:rRNA from 1 species